rnacentral:rRNA from 1 species
UACAGAGGGUGCAAGCGUUGUUCGGAAUUAUUGGGCGUAAAGCGCGUGUAGGCGGCUUUGCAAGUCGGAUGUGAAAGCCCUGGGCUCAACCCAGGAAGUGCGCGAGAUACUGCCGUGCUGGAGUGAUGGAGAGGAUGGCGGAAUUCCCGGUGUAGAGGUGAAAUUCGUAGAUAUCGGGAGGAACACCUGUGGCGAAGGCGGCCAUCUGGACAUUGACUGACGCUGAGACGGCGAAAGCGUGGGUAGCAAACAGGG